CCCAGGAAGAGGAAGAAUGAGUGGGCCCAAGAGUAGUAUGAAUGGGAACAUCGAGGAAAGCAUAAGCUUUCUAGAUUCCCUCUCCCAACAAAGGAGAGAUUUGGCUCUGUGUUUUUCCGAUGCCUCCCAUUCCUAUUAUUCUUGGGUGCUCCUUCCCCUUGCUUUUGGCU
rfam:Triticum aestivum genome assembly, contig: Triticum_aestivum_CS42_TGACv1_scaffold_456744_5DS